rnacentral:piRNA from 1 species
UAUUAUUGUAAAUUUUAUGUCUCUGUGUGG